UGCAGGUGCCGCCACCUAACCUUCACUCCCUUCCAGAUCCCGUUCCCACUCGCAAGCCACUGGCCACAGCCAGAGUCUCCCUCCUCCGCAACGUCGCCGCGGUCAGGUGGUGGAUGCAGCAGCGAGUUCGCUCCUUCAACCGCCGGUCCAGGAGCUUCUCCCGCUCCCGCCUCGCCAUCGAGGGAUCUUAACCUCACAGCCAUCCCUCGCUUGUUUCGUUUGAACUCGGUGCUGAAUUCCUGACUGACGAACGGACGAACGCACGCAACGAGUUACCGUGAUGGACGCCCCCACCGCCGCCGUUGUUUCUGUUAACGGGAAGAUGGGGGUCGAGGAGAGGAAGGCGCAGAAGAGCUACUGGGAGGAGGAACCUCACCGUCGAGGCCAUGAUGCUGGACUCCCGCGCCGCCGAUCUCAACAGGGAGGAGCGCCCCGAGGAACUGGGACAUAAGUAUGCUAUGUCCACUGGUUGCUUGAAAUGGUCCUGUCUUUGCUUCCUUCAUACGAAGGAAAAUCUGUACUGGAGCUUGGUGCUGGAAUAGGCCAUUUCACUGGAGAACUCGCUAAAAUAGCUGGGAAUGUUCUUGCUCUUGAUUUUAUUGAAAGUGCAAUUAAAAAGAAUGAAAGCAUUAAUGGUCACUACAAUAAUGCAUUUAUUUAUUUAACUCCUAGAAUACCCGUUGAGAUCCUCCAAGGAAGCACCGGCCACGUCUGCUGAAAUGGCACCAGCCGUUUGAUUGCCCAUCUUGUGGUGCAUGAAUGUUGGAGCUGAUUCAAAUAAAUCUGUCAUCGAUUACUUUGCUGUCUGAUUUCUUGUGUUUGCCUGCAUUUGUGGACUGCUCAUCGCUGAUUUUGAUUCUUACAGCUUCCGCUCCGUACUGUUGCUGAGCUAAAUGUAUCAGCCUCAUUUAUUGUGAUCCCUGUUCCACCAAACAAAGUGGGCUCCACACCGAGAAAAAAGGACACACCAGUGCACCACCACGUUGCUGCCAGUUUUAUCUCUUUCGUCUUCGUUGGUUCGGUUCCUGUGCUCGUUUCCUCGGCGUCGUCGCUCCGGCUGUGGUCUCGAUUGUUCGUGCUUCUUUCUUUGAGUUUUGUUCGCCUAGUCUGCGCUACUGCUCUCUCCUCUGGUUUUCCUCUCACUCUGGGCGGUGCCUUCUUGUGCCUCCUGUCCUGUGUUACCUCUGUAUGUCCACCAUACCUGUUCUAUUGCGGAUUCGCUUUCGCUGACCUUGCCUUGCCACGGUGGGGGCUUUCCCCUGCCAUGGUGGGCUAUCCAGUGGUCCUACCUAAUCUUCUACCUCUGUUUCCAUUAUUCUAUUGGCUCUGUUCUUGAGGUCUUUGUGCUCAUAGAAUACAUUAUGUUUGUUUCAGGUUUGUUUCCUUCAUCUCCGUCUAACGAAUCUAGACAGCCUCCGCGUGUUUGCACUGGUGGCGCUGCCAGGGAUCGACGGUGUCGUCGGCUUGCGGCGCGGCGGUGCCCAUUCUCGGCUGCAAUGCGAGGUGGGAGGAGGCGACGCGAGGUGGGAGGAACGCCAGUGGCGAUCAGCAAGGCACGCUCACGCGGCACUGUGGUGAACAGUAGGGAAUUCUUUUUUGAUGACAACCUAUCCCUACUGUCUGUGGAACCAUUUUUUCCCCUGAUGCUUGGUGCAACUGAUAGAAAUUUUCCUUUGUUGGAUAGGUUGUCAUCAAAAAAGAAUUCUUAUAUAAGUUGGGGACAUAGGAUGGUUAUCUUGAAAGGAAAAUAUUUUUUUGCCUAUGUGGCUCACGAUGAAAUUGAUUUCUCAUAUAAUGGAAUAUAGGCUGAUGAUCUCUAGUGGUCUUUUCUUGAAAGGGAAAUAAUUUUUUGCCCAUGUGGCUCAUGAUGAAAUUGAUUUCUCAUAUAAGUUGGAAAUAUAGGCUGAUGAUCUUUGGCGGUCCAGGGCAUGUUCAUGUAUAUAUAUGUAUUGUUAUCUAUUUAUUUAUCAUGCUUCAUCAAUUCCCUGAGGUCAACAUAUUGCAACUUCCUCUUAGGGCUGGCAGUACACUUAGUGCUGCUAAUUGUGCCUAACUAAAUGGUGAUAUUUUGUAUGUGUUACCAACUUGAAUUUUUUUGUAAAGGGCGCUAUUCUCAGUGCAUGCCGUUGUGCCUAACUAAAGGAGAUCAAAUGAUGCCAUUUUGGGUUCAUUUCUGAAGGUACUCUUGUUAUCUACAUUAUUAUUGUUUUCUUAUUGUACUGAAUUCUUAUAUAAUUUUAGAAUAUAGCCUGCUGAUUUUCAAAGGCAAAAAUUUACAGUGUGUACAUUUUUAUGAUUUUCCGAGGAUAUGGCUGGAUGCGAGAAUGAAGAGUUUUUCAGCUUCCUAGCCAAGAACUCCCCUUUCUUCUUUGUCUUUUCUUUCUUUCACUUUCUCUUGAAGGACAACAGGAGGGCAGUGCUCCCUCUACCCUUUGUAUUGAAGCCUAGAUUUCAGGCUAGCCAAAGGAAAUUUUGAAGAGAACUAUCAGGUUUUUUUUUUGGCUGUGGAUGUUAUGCUAAGAAGCAAACAUGCUUCUGUUUGUUUGCACACUUCCAUCACGAAGGAAUGCAGGUAACUGUUUUUUUCAUGUCUAAGUUUGAUUGCAGGAAAGUGAUAGAGUUUACAUGCUCCUCAAAAUAUUGAAGUCUUUUUAUGCUCUCGAAUUUAACUGUAUCUUACUUCCUGCUACUGCUGCUAAUUCAGGGUACUUUCUGUUUGGACGAUACAAUCAAAUUAUGCUAUUUAAUUUAUUUCAAUGCCUCCUACUGACUUAUCUUCAGUUUUCUACAUUAUUUAUUGUCCUGUAUACUAAAACAUAAGGGCAUUGUCUCAUGCUUCUUCUUUUACUUUCUGCAUACUUAUAUGAUUUACGAAUGAUUUUGAUGCCACCUUUCAGGUUCCUAAUUGUAGCCGACCUCUAAUUUGUGCCAGUUACAAUACACUCCCGUGGCUUAAAGAAUGAAAGAAGCUGCCCACCCUUUAUAGGUUUUUGGGUUAAUGAGAUAUCCUCCCAUGUGCUUGUGCUUGAUGGAUUCAGGUGCAACCUAUGUGUCGCUAAGAAGAAUGUAAAGGCGACGACGAACAAGGAUGGAAUCAGACCGAAGCAUGAACAUUGGGUGGUAGUGAUGCCUAUAGCAUAGGCAACCAAACUCUUAAACCCACGGCUCUCUUCCGUGUAAAAUAUUUCGGACGCACACCGUAAGAUGUCUCUGAACACCACAUGUGACGGAAAUUAGCACCCAACUGUACAAACAUGUUGUGUAAUGUAGCGAUCUAGCACCUUAUGAUGCUUUAGUAUGUUCAACCAGACUCAACUUAUACCAAACCUAAUGACUACUACCAAACCUAAUGACUACUACGAUGUGUAGUCCUUUGUAUAUAUAACUAUAUUGUCUAUAUUAUUCUUGAAUACUACCAUGGCUCACUCCAUGAUUGCUUGUGCUCGCGCGCAAAUGCGCGCGCCAUCCACUAGUCCUUUAUGUGUGCUUAUGUGACAUCCGAGGACCUGGUGCUUCCAGCUAGCUCCAUUGAUCUGAUAUUUUCAAAUUGGUUAUUGAUGUAUCUUUCAGAUGAAGAGGUAAUGGAGACAUGCUUUGAGUAAGUAACAAAUUCUAAUUCCAUAGUAUUCCUUGAUCUUCUUGCUGAGAUUGUCCUUGUAAAAUGAAUAUGUUCAUAAAAAUUCUGAAGGGCACCUGUUUUCUAAAUGACUGAAAACACUAAUAAAAAGUUAUGGUAGAAGGUACUGUUUGCUGAUUUAUCUCUACAACUAAAAAGAGCCAAAUGAUAUCGUCAUACCCUUCUAUCGGCCUGCCUCCCCCGCCGCAUCCUUCCUCUCACCCAUCUCGCCCAGCUAUUCCCCUGCCUGCAACCACCGCAAGCGCACGACUCGAAGGUCGGCCGCACGACGCCCAGGUCCUUCUAUCCCGCCCGGACAACCGCAGCUCGACCUUCAGCACCCUCACCUUCUAUCCUGCCUGGACAACCACAGCUCGACCUUCAGCACCCUCACUGGAGGUCGCCCACGAUGCCGCCCACCAUACCUCGCUCGCUGCGGCAGCCUGCAAGCAGCAGCAACACCCCCGCCCACCCCGACUGCAAGCCUGCAAGAACUUGGCGAGGACUGGCGGCCGCCCUGACCUGCUCUUGCCUCGUCGGCCUCUCCUCUGCCAGGACAACACAGCUCCCUCCAGCAAAAUUGACAUGGAGCGGCUGUAGCCCUGCAGGAACCUAUCAAGGUCAGGCAACCGAUCCAACUCGCCUUCUGUUACCUUAUCCUUGCUCUCAAUAGUUCUUCUUUUUACUUUUUUUUUCUGGUCAAUGCAUUAUUAUCCCUGUGUGUGCAAUUCUCCUGCUUGGCUUCUCUGGUUAGACAAUAGAUGAUAGAUGAUGUCCGGUUAGAAGAUGAGGCAUGAAUUUCUGCUGAAAUCUGCGACCUGUGAAAAUGGAGUGCAAGAUUGAGAGUUAUUGACAGUUGAAGUGCUGAUUAAAACUAAUUUAGGUUCCUAUUUUUCCCUUUUAAAACUAACUUAGUUCUAACUUGAUGGAAUGGGCUCAUUAGUGUAGCACGAGCAAUAUACUAUCAAGUAAAUAGCACAACAGCCAACCAGGGUGCAGGACCUCAGUUCCAUUCAAUAUGAUAGCAGCAGUACGCAGCAGGUGAACAUGACAGCAGCUAAUCUGCUAGCCUGUGUCUUCUUUGUUCAGUGGCACCAGAUUUGUUGGCUUUGCUCACAUGAUCAGUGAACCUUUGUUACUUAUCAGUCAUUACAUCAUGAUUGUUUAAAAUACUUGCCAAACCAAAAUUUAAAUUUGGAGGGAUUAUGUUUGUAUGCUAAUAGAUGUCUUCAGUGUGUUGUCUAGGAUACCACAUAUCUAGAGGACAGUUGAAGAGCCAUAAAGGAGGCACCAGAGUUAGACAAUGAAUGCUUAGAAUUGAAUAUUUUAUUACAAUUCACUUACUUUUCUUGUUUUCUCCUCUUCUAUAUGUAGUAAUUAACUAAUAUAGCUCAUGACAACUUAUAGGGGUUGGAUCCAUUCGGACAUGGCAAUGCGCACAUUCCUGGACCUGGGCCUUGAGCUCUGGCGUGGAUUGGGCAUGAGUUUUGAACCUCUAGAUUCAGCAACAUCGUCUGUCUCCAGCACUGGUGUUUCUUCAAUAUUGGUGGUGGUGUUCAUAUACCUGAUCCUAGAAGCAUGUGCAGCAGCAGUGGAUCUGUUGUACCUUGCCUAAGCUACAAGAUGAGAAGGAGGUGGUAUGGAGCGAGGCGUUUGGCGUUCUGGGGAGCUUCUGCCUUUAGGCAUGCACCUGCGUCACCGUUACCUUUGGAACCAUGCUCUGCUUCAUCCAACUCUCCCUCAUCUCCUACCGCCUACGAGGCACCCCUGUCAUUGGAACUCAGCAAAAUGGGUAUUGAGAUAUUUUUUGUAGCAUAAAAUCUAUCUGUAUUCACUUAGAUAAUGUUCGCUUGACAGAAAGUCAUGGCUGAAUAUAUUGUUCCCUGUUUUA